UACACUCCUACGGGAGGCAGCAGUGGGGAAUAUUGGACAAUGGGCGCAAGCCUGAUCCAGCCAUGCCGCGUGAGUGAUGAAGGCACUAGGGUUGUAAAGCUCUUUCACCGGUGAAGAUAAUGACGGUAACCGGAGAAGAAGCCCCGGCUAACUUCGUGCCAGCAGCCGCGGUCAUACGAAGGGGGCUAGCGUUGUUCGGAUUUACUGGGCGUAAAGCGCACGUAGGCGGACUAUUAAGUCAGGGGUGAAAUCCCGGGGCUCAACCCCGGAACUGCCUUUUAUACUGGUAGUCUUGAGUUCGAGAGAGGUGAGUGGAAUUCCGGGUGUAGAGGUGAAAUUCGUAGAUAUUCGGAGGAACACCAGUGGCGAAGGCGGCUCACUGGCUCGAUACUGACGCUGAGGUGCGAAAGCGUGGGGAGCAAACAGGAUUAGAUACCCCGGUAGUCCCAUGAU
rnacentral:rRNA from 1 species